CCUACGGGUGGCUGCAGUGAGGAAUAUUGGUCAAUGGGCGCGAGCCUGAACCAGCCAAGUCGCGUGAGGGAAGACGGUCCUAUGGAUUGUAAACCUCUUUUGUCGGGGAGCAAAAGACGCCACGCGUGGCGUUCCGAGAGUACCCGAAGAAAACACAUCGGCUAACUCCGUGCCAGCAGCCGCGGUAAUACGGAGGAUGCGAGCGUUAUCCGGAUUUAUUGGGUUUAAAGGGUGCGCAGGCGGAAGAUCAAGUCAGCGGUAACAUUGAGAGGCUCAUCCUCUGCGAGCCGUUGAAACUGGUUGUCUUGAGUGAGUGAGAAGUAUGCGGAAUGCGUGGUGUAGCGGUGAAAUGCAUAGAUAUCACGCAGAACUCCGAUUGCGAAGGCAGCAUACCGGCGCUCAACUGACGCUCAUGCACGAAAGUGUGGGUAUCGAACAGGAUUAGAUACCCCAGUAGUC
rnacentral:rRNA from 1 species